GACGAACGCUGGCGGCGUGCUUAACACAUGCAAGUCGAGCGGUAAGGCCCGUUUCGGGGGUACACGAGCGGCGAACGGGUGAGUAACACGUGGGUGACCUGCCCUCAGCUCUGGGAUAAGCCUGGGAAACCGGGUCUAAUACUGGAUAUGACUCCAUGACGCAUGUUGUGGGGUGGAAAGCCUUGUGCGGCUGAGGAUGGGCCCGCGGCCUAUCAGCUUGUUGGUGGGGUGAUGGCCUACCAAGGCGACGACGGGUAGCCGGCCUGAGAGGGCGACCGGCCACACUGGGACUGAGACACGGCCCAGACUCC
rnacentral:rRNA from 1 species